GUUAGAAUAGCUCAAACGGGAGAGCAAUGGAUUGAAAAUCCAUGAGUCAUUGGUUCAAAUCCAAUUUCUAACA
rnacentral:tRNA from 1 species